rnacentral:lncRNA from 1 species
GAUAGAAUCCUUUUUCCCUUUUUUAAGAUUCGUUGGGAAUGAUGAUGAAACAUGACCUACCGUCAGGCCCUUUGUGGAUCAAACACAGCCCAAACCAGCCCGGCCACAGCCCCGGGCGCGGAUGCCCGCCCGACCACCGCCCUCUCUCCCGGAGCGGCUCCUCCUCCGGGCUGCGCGGCUCCAGACGAGCCCCCUUCAGUGCGAGCGCCCAGCCUGGCUGGGGAGCUCAGAGGAAGAUGAGAGACUGCUUGGGCACCAGCAAUAGUACCAUGAGUCCCUGCACUGGUUAAAGCGAUCACCACAACCUGGGCAGGCAGCAAGG